rnacentral:rRNA from 1 species
GAUGAACGCUGGCGGCGUGCCUAAUACAUGCAAGUCGAGCGAACAGACGAGGAGCUUGCUCCUCUGACGUUAGCGGCGGACGGGUGAGUAACACGUGGAUAACCUACCUAUAAGACUGGGAUAACUUCGGGAAACCGGAGCUAAUACCGGAUAAUAUAUUGAACCGCAUGGUUCAAUAGUGAAAGACGGUUUUGCUGUCACUUAUAGAUGGAUCCGCGCCGCAUUAGCUAGUUGGUAAGGUAACGGCUUACCAAGGCAACGAUGCGUAGCCGACCUGAGAGGGUGAUCGGCCACACUGGAACUGAGACACGGUCCAGACUCCUACGGGAGGCAGCAGUAGGGAAUCUUCCGCAAUGGGCGAAAGCAUGACGGAGCAACGCCGCGUGAGUGAUGAAGGUCUUCGGAUCGUAAAACUCUGUUAUUAGGGAAGAACAAAUGUGUAAGUAACUAUGCACGUAUUGACGGUACCUAAUCAGAAAGCCACGGCUAACUACGUG